AUGCAAGGGGACCAGGCGGAGAAGAGGGGGAAGGUGAAGAAGGGGUGGCUGGCGGUGCGGGUCGGCCAGGCGGAGCAGCAGGGCGACGGGUUCCGGCGGUUCGUCAUCCCCAUCGCCUACCUCUACCACCCGCUGUUCCAGCGGCUGCUGGAGGCGGCUCGGGACACGUAUGGCUACAACUCGGCCGGCCCGCUGUGGCUGCCCUGCUCCGUCGACGAAUUCCUCCGCCUGCGCGCGCUCGUCGACCGGGAGACGGCGCACUCGCACUCCUCCUCCUCGCACCGCGUGCACGUGCAGGCCGGCGGCCACCAGCAGCACGGCUACUCCUUCGCCCCGUGCACCCGCGCCAAGGUCACCUCCUGA
rnacentral:rRNA from 1 species